UGGGGAAUAUUGCGCAAUGGGCGCAAGCCUGAUGCAGCCAUGCCGCGUGUAUGAAGAAGGCCUUCGGGUUGUAAAGUACUUUCAGUCGGGAGGAAGGUGUCAAGGUUAAUAACCUUGGCAAUUGACGUUACCGACAGAAGAAGCACCGGCUAACUCCGUGCCAGCAGCCGCGGUAAUACGGAGGGUGCAAGCGUUAAUCGGAAUUACUGGGCGUAAAGCGCACGCAGGCGGUUGAUUGAGUCAGAUGUGAAAUCCCCGGGCUUAACCCGGGAAUUGCAUCUGAUACUGGUCAGCUAGAGUCUUGUAGAGGGGGGUAGAAUUCCAUGUGUAGCGGUGAAAUGCGUAGAGAUGUGGAGGAAUACCGGUGGCGAAGGCGGCCCCCUGGACAAAGACUGACGCUCAGGUGCGAAAGCGUGGGGAGCAAACAGG
rnacentral:rRNA from 1 species